AAAAGUAGUAGUUAACCCAGAGAAUAUAAACUGGUGUCAACAAGACAGGAUAUUGAGUCUGGAAGAAAGGCAUUCAAGUUAUAUGCACCUGCAGAUGAGGUAAGAAGUAGUCCAGAUGAUCUAAACUGAAUGUUCAAAUAAUUGUGGAUGCAAAUUGUGGAUGAAGGCCAGGUUGAAAAAUUGGCCCGAAGUGACUAGAACAUUAGGAAUGCAAGUAUCCAGAGCAUGAAAGAUCUUACAGAUUUACAUCAAAGCUAGACAGCUAUGUGUUGAUGGCCCAUUAAGGACACUUCGCUCUAACAGUGGGCCAUUGAAGAAACUCAUCCCACCCAGUAGGUCUUCCUGCAGACAUCUCAGACUCUGAGGGGCCAAUGGCUAUCCCCGGUGAUUUAGCAAAACAUGCAAGGGCAUGUGAUAUGCUCAUGUGACCCUGACUCCAUCUUGAGUCAGUAAUUUUCCACAAACAGGGGCUAUGGACUUUGGGAUAGUACACUUCCAUGCACAUGGCCGUGUAUAUAAAAAGGCACCUGAGA